AGAGUUUGAUCCUGGCUCAAGAUGAACGCUAGCUACAGGCUUAACACAUGCAAGUCGAGGGGCAGCAUGGUCUUAGCUUGCUAAGGCCGAUGGCGACCGGCGCACGGGUGAGUAACACGUAUCCAACCUGCCGUCUACUCUUGGACAGCCUUCUGAAAGGAAGAUUAAUACAAGAUGGCAUCAUGAGUCCGCAUGUUCACAUGAUUAAAGGUAUUCCGGUAGACGAUGGGGAUGCGUUCCAUUAGAUAGUAGGCGGGGUAACGGCCCACCUAGUCUUCGAUGGAUAGGGGUUCUGAGAGGAAGGUCCCCCACAUUGGAACUGAGACACGGUCCAAACUCCUACGGGAGGCAGCAGUGAGGAAUAUUGGUCAAUGGGCGAGAGCCUGAACCAGCCAAGUAGCGUGAAGGAUGAAGGUCCUACGGAUUGUAAACUUCUUUUAUAAGGGAAUAAACCCUUCCACGUGUGGGAGCUUGUAUGUACCUUAUGAAUAAGCAUCGGCUAACUCCGUGCCAGCAGCCGCGGUAAUACGGAGGAUGCGAGCGUUAUCCGGAUUUAUUGGGUUUAAAGGGAGCGCAGACGGGUCGUUAAGUCAGCUGUGAAAGUUUGGGGCUCAACCUUAAAAUUGCAGUUGAUACUGGCGUCCUUGAGUGCGGUUGAGGUGUGCGGAAUUCGUGGUGUAGCGGUGAAAUGCUUAGAUAUCACGAAGAACUCCGAUUGCGAAGGCAGCCUGCUAAGCUGCAACUGACAUUGAGGCUCGAAAGUGUGGGUAUCAAACAGGAUUAGAUACCCUGGUAGUCCACACGGUAAACGAUGAAUACUCGCUGUUUGCGAUAUACGGCAAGCGGCCAAGCGAAAGCGUUAAGUAUUCCACCUGGGGAGUACGCCGGCAACGGUGAAACUCAAAUGAAUUGACG
rnacentral:rRNA from 1 species